UGAUGUAAAUAGCACGGUAUGUCUGCACAGUGGAGGACAGGGGAGGCUUCCAGUCAGACAGCACAGCACACGCAAAGGCACAGCAUGACCAAGGAGAAGCAGGACUGUGCAGAUGGGACAUGAGGAAGAGAUUCAAAGUCAGGCAGAUUAAGGGAAUACCAUGAAGGGACUCUUUGGGAUGCAAAGUCAUAAACUUGACAUUCUUUGUAACAGAACUGUAUGUAUGGCAUGCUGCUGGAUUGCGAGGCAAUGGCUAUGUUAAAGGGACUAUCCCUGUGCCCGCUACAUUGUCAUUUGAAUAGAUCUACAAUACGGUUUGGGACCACCAACCUCUCUGUUUUAAGCUCGAUGGCCGUGGUGCGAAGUAGAGUUGGUUGCUAUGAAAUAGAACUUUACAUUGUGGUUGUUAAUUCCAAGAGUACCUCCCAAUAAAUGCCCACAUGCUAAUAGCUGAUUCCAACUACUUUCCAGUGAAUCUAACCUACAACUGCAGAGAGAUUUGGGCAGGUUGUAACGUCCUCAGAUCUGUGCUUUCCUUCCUCUUUUGUGGUUUAUAUGGUUGAAGUUUGGAGGGAAGAGCCAGCAGCCAGUGCUAAUGAAGUUUCAAGAGUACUUUUGGAGAGAACUGACAUCUUUAUAAUGUGAAGUCAAACACUCCAUGGAUAUAGAAAUCUCGACUGAAAUAAAAAAAAAAUACUUCUAGAAGUCACUGUGUAACUCUGUGGGAAGUCAGCAGUAGCUGAGGUAGAAGGAUGGCCAAUCUUAUUAAGCACUGCUUACAAUAGCAAAUACCUGGAACCAGCCCAAAUGUGCAUCAAUGAUAGACUGGAUAAAGAAAAUGUGGCACAUAUACACCAUGGAAUACAACACAGCCAUAAAAAGUGAUGAGUUCGUGUCCUUCACAGAGACAUGGAUGAAUCUGGAAACCAUCAUUCUCAGCAAACUGACACAAGAACAGAAAAUCAAGCAUCACAUGUUCUCACUCACAGGCAGGUGUUGAACAAUUAGAAAACAUGGACACAGGGAAGGGAACAUCAUA